AUUGAACGCUGGCGGCAGGCCUAACACAUGCAAGUCGAACGAGUGGCGGACGGGUGAGUAAUGUCUGGGAAUCUGGCUUAUGGAGGGGGAUAAAUACGGGAAACGGUAGCUAAUACCGCAUACCAUAGUAUGGGCCCAAGUGGGAUUAGGGAGUUGGUGGGGUAACGGCUCACCAAGGCGACGAUCCCUAGCUGGUCUGAGAGGAUGACCAGGCACACGGGGACUGAGACACGGACCAGACUCCUACGGGAGGCAGCAGUGGGGAAUAUUGCGCAAUGGGCGCAAGCCUGACGCAGCCAUGCCGCGUGAAUGAAUAAGGCCUUCGGGUUGUAAAGUUCUUUCGGUAGGGAGGCGUUAUCCACAGAAGAAGCACCGGCUAACUCCGGGCCAGCAGCCGCGGUAAUUC
rnacentral:rRNA from 1 species